UAUAAUAAAAUAUUAAUAUACAAAUAAGAAAUUAUAAACUAUAAAUAAUGUGAUAUAAAUGAAAUAAAAUUUGUAAAUGGGUGAAAGUGAACCAAAAUGUAAAUUUUGGAAAAUUCGUCAACCAAUAUACCAAAAUGAAAUUAACAAUAUAAAUGUUCUAAUGAUAUCAUCAAUUUUGAAUUUGGGCCGUUUCAAUGAAUUUACAUAAAUUUGGGGCAAAAAAUAAAUUUGUUUUUUCUAGUGAUUUUCUAUAUCAGAAAUGUCCUGAACUCUUACUUCCCAAAGUUGUAUAAAAAUAAUUUUUGGAUCAUUGUUUGUUUUUGUCUUUACAAUUUUACUUUUCUUUGCAUGGAAAUGUAAAAAGCAAGAAAUUGUUGCUGCAGUAAAUCAUCCUGUUACAAGAGACAAAGACAUGCUUCUUAAGGAAACUAGAAUCAGAUACACCUCUAAGAUUUCUCUUAUUCUUUUCAAUUGAGAAUAUAAAGAAAAAAAAUACUAGAAAGUGCAGACUUGAACUGUUGUUAACUAGAAAUGAGGUGCAGAAAAUGGAUAAAUCUUUCACGGGUUGUCAUAUAGAGUUAUGGUUUAACAGUUUACAUCAAGAAGAACUAGAAUGCAACAUUAUCAUGCAUGAUUGCACGAGGAAGACAAUUUUAUUGGUGUAUUGUUUGUUUUUCAUUGUUUUCAACUCCUUGGACGUUCAACUUAUUAGUUGAAAAAGCAUACCUGGAGGUUGGAGGUUGGUUGGGAGUGAGUUUCUCUAUGAAAUUGAAACUUUGAAGUAUGGGUUUUGAUGGUUCACUUACGAUACCCAUGACAUGGUUUUUAUUUCCAUCUAAUUAUUCUGUUUAUCUCCCGAUGCUUCUUCUUUCCGGCCCUCCCUCAUUGUAAAAGUUCUCUGUAUAUCUAAAUAUCUGUGCAAUCUGUUUAUCAUAUCAUACACAUUUCAUUAAUGGAGUUGAUAACACUGUUUUUCAGUUCUGCAAAGUUUAAUUACUUGAAGUU